UAAGAUUGACACUCCAUGUAAACAGAUGAAAAAAGACAUGUGUAAUUGUGGAUUAUGGCAAAAUUUUCUCUGAGGAGACGUUUAUUUAACAUAACAUUUAAGGAAGGAGUCUCCAGUAUAAGCGCUUUGUAACAAGUCAGAGGUAAAGUUGUAACUUUAAUGGGAUUGUCUUCAGGAUGGAGUGCUUUGUGGACAAGCUGCUUUAAAAAAAAAAAUCUAAUUAACUUCAAAAGCGAGACUGAAGGAAGACAGGAGACAAUGGUCCAGUUCUAAAGCAUCCAAUGGGCCGUUAUUUAUUGCCUAUAAUUUUGCAAACUGAAUACUGAUAUUAGGACGUGUCCUAACUCCUCGAAAACAAUGGAACAAACAGGCGUGUGUUAGUGUGACUUUGUGCUUCCGGUUAUUAAGCUAUCCCUACCUCAACCUAAGCCACACCAACACUGCAGACACGCUGUGCUGUUCCGAAAAAAGCAUUUUCCCAGAACGGCUACUUCCUGAUGAAAAGAAGACUUCAGCACCAAGGCGUUUUAACCAGAAAUGGCCGCUUGGACCAGCCCACAGUGGCAGACCGAUUGAGUGAGAUAUGAGCUGCCAGCCCAGAAAAUCUCUCCUCCAAGCGGAUGACAGAAUCAUACAAAUGAGCAAGUUCUCACAGAUCUUAGCCGGUCCGAACUCAGAGCUAACGACUGUGUGCAUCAGUCAGCUCUCUGUAUUCUAGAUCUGUAGCAUAGCCAGGGAUUGAAAAAAAAUUUCUUUACAGUAGUGCAAAUCACAACCCGCUUUUAUUGUGUCUCUCUGUUUGCCUGGUCACUAGAACUGAAUGGGUUUCAUCCAAAUCAUUCUUGUACUAUAUUUGCUCAUAAGUCUUCAUGUACUGUAAGGGAAUGCACCUUUUGCAUCCUGCUUCAUUUCCCAUUUAAGUGAUUUUUACCAGAUGCAUUUUAUUUGUAUUUGGUUUGACUGCCUUUUAACCUUCGAUACUUCAUCAGAACAAUGCGCCAACUGUCAUUUCCUCGUUUUCUUUCCGGUAUGCUAGCCUGUAAGGAUCUUGUAAUGUUCUGAGUGACAUGGCACAAUCGUAAACGAUGCUUUAUAUGACAUUCUAGCACAUUAUUGGUGUAACUAUUUCAGAUUUACUUAUUACCCCCAUCGUGGACAAUAUAUUCAGUUUUACAUUCAGUUUUUUCAUGGUGUGGCCAUGUACUUUUUACAUGUUAGAGAACAUGUGUUUAGCUAAAACUGUGACAUAUAGUACAUUCACAAUUUAGCUUUAGAUGCAGCCUUUAAUCUUCAAAUUCUUGUUGUUAAUUAUCUUCGAACAUAAUUCACGCUCUGUCAUUCAUACAUCUUUCUUCAAUCUCAUACAUUGUCCCAGAAUUGCUGCAUUGUGCUUUCCUUUCCUCCUCCAUCUCAUAUUCUUCCUCUUGUUGCCACUGCUAGAUUCUGUUCCAGUGUGUUGGAUUAUAGUCAUUACGUAUAAACUGUGUUUUUUUUCCAUCUGGUAUGAUUUUUAACGUUCAAGCCAGUCAAAGUAAUACCAGUGCUCACUGGAUUACUUUCUUUUCUUGUUGGUGUUCACACAGACUCUGGGCUAUUUGUGUUCAAUGAUGGUGGAUUUGUCAGGUGAUUGGUGUGCUUUUUGAACAUGUAAUUCUAUAUAAUAAAAAAAACGGGAUUCUUCUAGGUAGGCCUUCUUGUUCCUGGAAAAUUUUGCCAACAGCUGCACUGCAGAAAAAUGACAUCUUAGCAAGUAGAAAUACCUUGAAUAUGGUCAGAUUUAUUUAGAAUGUCCUAUUAUAAUAAUUCAGUAAACCAAAUAUAAGAUUAUGAAACCUAUUUCAAGCCAUUUGUGCUCAUUUAAAGCUUGAAAUAAUAUUGCUCUAUUGGCAGAUAAUUGUGCUUCUUUAAGAAAUAAAUGCUUAAAAUGAGUGAAAUUUUCUGUCAGUAGAGCAAGAUUGAAAAAUGACUACAUAUUGAAAUCUGUUUUGUUUGUUUAUAGAAGUUGGUGAGGACCACACAAUUGUUAUUUGGGCCCUAAUAACUAAAUCACCACAAGUUGUUUAAAAGGGUUUCAUGAUAAAAGCCUCUACUCUCAUCCAAAAACAAACUCAAGCAUCUUCAGUUUGUCAGACACUACUGGAACUUCAAAUGGGAUCAGGUUCUAUGGUCAGAUGAAACCAAAAUAGAGCUUUUUGGCAAUAAACACCAGAGGUGGUUUUGGCGCACACAGAGAGGUAGCCAUAUGGAAAAGUACCUCAUGCCCACGGUUAAAUAUGGUGGUAGCUCUUUAAUGUUUUGGGGCUGUUUUUCUGCCAGAGGACCUGGACAUUUUGUUAGGAUACAUGGCAUAAUGGACUCUAUCAAAUAUCAACAUAUAUUAAAUGAAAACUUGACUAGCGGUUAAGGCUCUGGGUUACUGAGUGGAAGAAGAGGGGUUCAAACCCCAGCACAGCUGAGCACUGUUGAGCAAGGCCCUUAACCCUCUCUGCUCCAGGGGUGCUGUAUUGUGGCUGUCCCUGCGCUCUGACCCAGCUUCCUAAAAUGCUGGGGUAUGCGAAGAAAAGAAUUUCAUUGUGCUGUAAUGUAUAUAUGACCAAUGUAUAUGUCAUUAUCACUCAUUAUCAUUAUCAUUAAAACAUGCAUGCCAUGGCCAUCCCAGUCCCCUGACUUGAAACCCAUAGAAAACCUGUGGGGUGAACUGAAGACGAGAGUCCACCAGUGUGGGCUCAAAAUGUGAAAGAUCUGGAGAGAUUCUGUAUGGAGGAAUGGUCUAAGAUCCCUUGCCAUGUAUUCUCCAACCUCAUCAGGAAUUAUAGGAGAAGACUCAGAGCUGUUAUCUUGGCAAAGGGAGGAAGCACAAAGUAUUGACUAAAAGAGUGGCAAUUUUUUUAUCAAAGAUCAAAAGGUUAAACGAUAAGGACAAUUGUUUUGGGGGUUUAUACGGCCUUCUUUUCUCAUAUUUACCAAGGGCGCCAAUACGUGUAUAUAUAUAUAUAUAUACAUAUUGUUUUUUCUUCCAUUAGGAAGAAUCCAAGCACUGCUGCUGUUUAUUUUGUGGCUUGUUUCAAGGCAUGAGUCAAAUGCAAGAUCUUGUUUUUACUUGAGGACUAUGCUAUUUGAUCACACACUGCUUAACGGUAACCCUAACCAGGACCGAAGAUACUCAGGGUUUUCCCAGAAACCUUCCUGAUUAGUGCCUUCCAGUUGCUGUUUUUCAUAGAAAGAGUCCUGGAAAUUGGUGGACAUUUCUCCUUUUAUUAAACAGUGUAAAUCUGUGUCUCUUUGGUUAGAACGAUGCAGUUAGGUAAUGGAUAUCGGGUCUCGUUGCUGUAGUUACUGUUUAUUCUGGAUGUCUCGACGAGUGUUCUCAGUAACCAUGACAUUGCUUGGAGCAACUCAAACGUGCCAAGUCACGAAGUGCGAGUGCCAAAAAAAAAAAGACAGUUCAAGGAAAUGUGCUAUAAUAUCCUUUUAAAUCUACUCUAAUUUCUAUGAACAUAAUUUCUAGAGUUAUUUCUGAAUUAUUUUUUUUUAAUAGUCCCUCAUGCAGGUAGUUGUUUUAAAUGUCUUCAUGAUGAGCCCAGAACUAAGUUUUUUUUUAAUCAUUUUUGCUAACAAAGCAGUUUCUUUGCUUUUCAAUUACGAUAUUUAUCAGAGGUUAAAUAAUGACUGGGUGGUCUUCACCAACUUCUACAAACAAACAAACAAACAAACUAAUAACCUAAGGUGACAACAAAAAAAAACACACAACACAUUUCAAUAUGUAGUCACCCCCCCCCCUCAAAAAAAGUAAACCAACAUUCAGAAAGCAGGUGGGGAAAUAAUAAGUACACCCUUCCUACUUCCACAAUGAUUGAGAGAGAAAUGAGCAGCCAGAUGUUCCUAAAGAAAUGCACAAGAUUAUUUAUUCACCAAAUUCACCAUUCACCAUUAUUUAUUCACUACCUCUAUAAAAACAGACAUUGUGGCAGGUUGGUGUUGUGGAGCACUC